AAAAUUUAUGGAAUAUUUUGUUCUGUAAACCCAAUCCGCGUAUCUGUUACUGUUGCUUCCGUGAGCCAUGGCUCUGCCCACAUCGGCCUCUCGCGGCUGGCGAGCGCUCACGGUAAGGAAUCAUCAACUCUGUGUUUAGUUUGCCUUGUCUGACAUAUCAAGCAAAUGUUA
rnacentral:misc_RNA from 1 species